AUGAGCUCUUGGGUUCUGCAGCUGUGCCUCUCACUGGCUCUCUUCAUCUGUGGUGGAGCAUCCCAGCCUGUGCCUGUCCAGCCUCCGCGGGUCUCAUUUGCCGAGGGCACCACCGCUGUGCUGCCAUGCCGCCUGGAGCGUGGGCAGAUUCAAGACUACCACGUCUUCUGGUUCCGGCAACAGCCAGGUAACCGGCCGGCCCAUGUGCUGAAGCAUCACAUCCAAGGUGAAAUAGAACGAACCAGUGGAUUCGAUGAGAGAUUUGUGCCUGUCAGGAAUGCUGGUGCCAAUGCCUACGUGCUGCAGAUCCAGAAGGCACGCACAGAGGACAGUGCCACCUACUGGUGCAUGGCAGAGAUAAAUUCAUUCAACACUGCAGUCUCGGGGGCUGGGACGCAGCUCAGCAUCACUGGAGGGAAAUCAGUCAAGGAACCCGCCAGGGUCACCCUCUUGUCCGACGCGGCUGCCCAGAUAUCGGACUCCCCCGAUCUCCAUGCCUUGUGUCUGGCCGAGCGAUUCUACCCGGGCUUUGUGGAGAUAAAGUGGAGCAUGGCUGGGAACACCAUCACGGAGGGUGUGAUACCUGGACAGGUGAUCUUGAAUGACAACGGCUCCUACAGCACCAACAGCAUCCUGACAAUCCCCCGCAACCUGCUUGGCAAUGAUGCCUCUCUCAAGUGUUUGGUGCACCAUUAUUCUUCCGGCUCCAAGGCAGAGAGGAGUCUCGAGCUGUGCGAGGCCAACUCGUGA